GUCCCAGUGGCCUAUAUGCAUAUGAAACUCUGAAAGAAUGGACCUUCCUCUCAGAUGGAUGGAACUAGAAUUUCAAGAGGGUGAGGGAGAGCCCCUGCUGUUGUCUCUCUCUAUCCUCCCACUGCUUGGUUCUGGAUAUGGGAUAUGCAGGAAUUACAUGGCAGAAUGGGCAAAUAAAGUCCAGCUUUCUACCAGAAGAUUAAAAAAAGGAAUCUCAGAGAAUUGGAAUGUAUCACGGAGAUAGCAGAGAGGGAAAAGUUCAGGAAAGUAAACUCAUAAAAGUAUUUCUGAACUCCUAGUCUUAUGACCUGUACAAAUACAGGUUGACCUCAACCAGCAUCCUAUAAACUUUGAGAAUUGAACUAUAGGACAGAUUAUUGGCCAGGUCUCAGAAUGGCCACUGGAUGGUGCAAACCUGGGUCUGAUCUGAAUACCACUACAAAGCUUUGAAAAUGGAAUAGACAUUGAAACUACAGAAGGCUGUUUGAAACUUGUGGCGUCAAUCCAAACAUGCUGUUCAUCCAGUAAAACAAAAACUUCAAAAUUCUUCAUAGAUUUGAAUAAGACCCAGCAUCUUAAAACAUAAUCCAAAAUGUCCAUGAUAAAAUAAAAAAUUACUCAGCAAAUGAAGAACCAGUAAAAUCUCAAAUUGCAUGGAAAAGGCAGUUAACAAAUGCCAAUGCUGAGAUGAUAUAGAUGUUGAAAUUAUCUGACAAAGACUUUACAACAGCUAUUAUAAACACGCUCCAAGAAGUAAGAGUAAAUAUUUUUGAAAUGAGUGGAAAGAUAGAAAGUCUCAUAAAAAUUGAAAUUAUAAAGAAUGACAUAAAAAUGUUAGAGCCAAAAAGUAGAAUAACAACUCAUUAGAUGAGCUCAAUAUAAUAGAAAUGUCAAAGGCAAGAGUUAGUAGACUGAAGAUAGAUCAAUAGAAAUUAUCCAACCUGAGCAACUGAGAGAAAAGAAUACUGAAAAAAACAAACAAACAAACAAACAAAAAAACAUGAAUAGAGUCUCAGGGACCUGUGUGAUAAUCACAAAAUGUGUAAUAUUUAUAUCAGUGGAGUCUCGGAAAGAGAAGAGAAAAUGAAGUGCAUUUUCCAAAAAACGUUAGAAAAUAAAUGGCUGAAAAGUUUAAGUUUUGUGAAAGACAUAAACUUGCAUAUUCCAGAAGCUAAGGAAACUCCAAACAGAAAAAGACAAACAAAUAAACAACUCCCCCACCCACAAAAAACCCAAGCCCAGAUACAUAAUAAUGAAACUGCUGAAAACUAAAGACAAAGUAUUAAAAACAGCCAAAGAAAAAAAUAGCACAUGACUUAUGGGGAGCAAUGUUUCAGCUGACUGUAGAUCUGUCAUAAGAAGCCAUGAAGACAGAACAAAGUGGUGUGACGUUUUAAAAGUCACUAUAAAUUUCUCAUGAAAAACUAUGAAGCCAGAAAGAAGUGGCAUGACAUUUUUUAAGUGCUGAAAGCAAAGGAAUAUUAACCCACAACUCUAUAUUCAGGAAAAUAUGCAUGACAAAUGAAGGAGAAAUAAAGAUAUUCUCAGAAGAAGGAAAACUAAGAGAAUUCUUAACCAGCAGACCUCCUUGAGAAGAACUUCUAAACAUUUCUUCUAAACAGACAGAAGAAGAAGGAAGAAGAGGAAUUUGGGAAAUGAGAACAAGUGCUCAGAGAUUUCCAAAAAAUUAUUCCUGGAGGCCUGAAUCAGGAUUUUUUUUUUUUUAACUCAUGCCAGCUGUUUGGUGGUUAUGAGUGAUUUGGGUCAGGCCAGUUUAAUUUCCAUCAUGCCAGGCCCCGAGACUGAAUUUCUGGUAUCACCUGGACUCUCUGUCUUCCCUAACCUUAACUUGGAAAAUGUCUGAUUCUAACCAUUCUAACAACACUGUGUAGUGUUAUGUCCUAAAUAACCCCUGAGAGACUAUUUUGACCUGGUUCUGUCUUCAUGAGACUAGCCCAUGUGGAUGAGAAUGAAUGUAUUUGAGGAAGAGAGGAUGGUCAUUGAAAACCUAAAUGAACUCAUUUUCUAACUUGCCUGGAAGUCACCAGCAUUUUUCAUUUAUUUGGAGAUUGUUUUCAAGGGGACAUUCUCACGCUAACCAAGUCUAAGGACACCUACAGAAUCUGAACUUUCAAUCUGCAGCAUGUCCAUCAUCAUCAGAUGAUGAACUGUGUGUGUUGGCACAUUGUGGGAGGAGGUACAUGGGCAGGAAACAUUAAUAACAGUUUGUGCUGUGAGCUCAAGAAAAUCACUGGUCUGACAUCAUCGCUAAAUAUUGGAGGGUCUUAGGAGUCUCUAGAUCCCUGGAUCCCUCUUGGGAGUGAGGAUCACGGACUUCCUCUUCAGUGAAUGGAAAUCUUACAACAAGUUCGCAUCAACAUCUUUGAGCCAUUUCCUUCAGAGAAAUCAACUGCUUUUCAGAGGACUUUCUCUCUGUGAAUAUUCUCUUUCUUCCCACGUCCCACUGCCUCCAACCCUUCAACUGAAAGAGAAAAAGCAAAGGCAGCAAGACAAGUGUGAAUCUUGAAGGUACGUUGGAUGGAAAGCACAUACACAGGGAGCAA
rnacentral:lncRNA from 1 species